rnacentral:rRNA from 1 species
UACGUAGGCAGCGAGCGUUGUUCGGAGUUACUGGGCGUAAAGAGUGCGUAGGCGGUGCUCCAAGUCUGGUGUGAAAAUCUCCCGCUUAACCGGGAGGGUGCGCCGGAAACUGGGGUGCUGGAGUGUGGGAGAGGUAAGCGAAUUCCCGGUGUAGCGGUGAAAUGCGUAGAUAUCUGGAGGAACACCGGUGGCGAAGGCGGCAUCCUGGACCAACACUGACGCUGAGGAGCGAAAGCCAGGGGAGCA